rnacentral:misc_RNA from 1 species
GCAGACAAAAAACAAAACACCUAUUCAAGACCUUUUACACUUUAACAAAGAGUUCGAAGAAAAUGGUACAAAACGUAAUUAUUGAUAGCUACUACGAAUUCCAAUCAGAAAAUAUGACAAUUGAAGAUGCUACCUCUUUCAUAACAGAACCACCGAACAGUACGAGAACCUGGAAUAGUUCAGCACUAGAAAGACUUCUCGAAAUAAGUAUGGGACCUCGACAAAUCAGUUCACCUUGGAGUCUUACCACACUCUACGCUAUCAUAUUCCUGUUGGGAUUAUUUGGGAACCUUUGUACAUGUAUUGUAAUAAUCCGCUACCGUCAUAUGCAUUCAACAACCAAUUUCUACCUCUUCUCUUUGGCAGUUUCUGAUAUUCUUAUACUGGUUGUAGGUUUGCCUUCAGAAAUUUACGGAAUUUGGAGUGCUUACCCUUGGCCGUUUGGAAUCAUCUACUGUUUCUUCAAAUCAAUGAUGUCAGAGGUAACAUCUUAUGCUUCAGUUCUAACCAUUACUGCAUUCACCGUUGAACGUUACAUGGCAAUCUGCCACCCUCUCUGGGCUUAUACAGUAUCAACACUGAGCCGAACCCUGAAGGUGAUAUUGAGUAUCUGGAUAACUUCUAUACUCAUAGCACUUCCAUACCCACUGUACACACGGUUGAGCUACCUAGUGAGCAACCCAGAGACUGGAGAACCGCUCACUGAUUCUCUUCAAUGUACCAUCCCCAAGGAGUUUUUAGACGGCAUGACAAUCAUGUUCAAGAUCUCGACAUUCCUCUUUUUCGUCACGCCACUGUUUGUGCUCAUUAUCCUCUACACAUUGAUUGUUAUCACAGUAAACAGAGCAACUGUUCAACGACCGUCACAUAAUCAAAGAAGGUUGACUUCUAUUUCAACGAUAUCCAGUAGCGGACGAGAUAACUUGGCUAACAGCAGGCGAAGCAAAGCGAUAUCAAAUACACGAGGAUCCGUUUUGAAACUUCUAGUUGCUGUCGUAGUUGCCUUUUUCUUUUGUUGGGCUCCAUUCCACAUCCAGCGUCUUCUCACACUUUAUGUCAAUAAUUGGACGCCACCUUUAUUACAAAUACAUUUACAUUUAUUUUAUAUAUCGGGGAUCCUGUAUUUUUCCCAUUCGGCUAUCAACCCAAUCCUGUAUAAUAUAAUGUCGGAGAAAUAUAAAUCGGCAUUCUUACAAACAUUUUGUUGUCGUCGGUGCAAGGAUGUUCAGCACAGAGUCAAUUCUGUAGUUACACAGCAUACCGGUUAGCAACAACCGAACGAAUAUCCACUAAGUAAAAAGAGAAAUAUGAUUGUAGACGAAUCUACAGUAUAACCGAAAUUGUUAUGAUGUCAGCCUAAUCUUGCAAGAACCUCUGAAGCAA